CUAAAGAUCCUGCAUGCUACAACGAAGAGCUGGCAUAGUCAAAUUAAUUUUAAAAAGAGAGAGAAACUAUGAAUUUAAACUCUACUACUUACUAGGAGUGCAUUAAGCAAGACAGAGGAUAUCUACUUUCCUAUGCAUGAGCACACUUUAGGACUGGAAAGAUGGUGAACUAUGCCUGGAUAGGGCGAAGCCACAGGAAGCUCUGGUGGAGGUCUGUAGCGGUCCUGACAUGCAAAUCGGUCAUCCGACCUGGGUAUAGGGGCGAAAGAUUAAUUGAACCAUCUAGUAGCUGG
rnacentral:ncRNA from 1 species